CAAUAUCAUCUGCUGGUGGAGUAUAAAUCACGAGAACAUUAAAAUAGAGGGAAAAGCUCACCAGUCGCAAUGCAAGUGUCAGGCACCCCACGUCUUGACACUUCACAUGAAGGACAAUGAAUGUUCUUGCACAGCAGGACGGACAACACAUGCUGCCGUCUGUCAUCGCAGCGUUCCACAGAAGAUUUGCAGCAGCAGGCAGGAGGAUCAGCAGGCCUUACACCCACCGCCGACAUGCUUCAGAUCUUCAGCAGGCCAGCAGAGUCCAGCUACAACACUGAAUAUGAACGAUUUCAGCCUGCCCCAGCUUUCGAGGAAACACUGUGGUGGAUUUGAGAAAACAAAUUAUGUAUUACAGCGCUGAAAGAGUCAUUUCAGUUUAUAAACAAGAGAUUUUUCUGUUUGUUUUCUUAAAUAAAAAAAC